rnacentral:rRNA from 1 species
AACGAACGCUGGCGGCGUGCCUAACACAUGCAAGUCGUGCGAGAAAGUUCCUUCGGGAGCGAGUAAAGCGGCGCACGGGUGAGUAACACGUAGGAAUCUACCUAAUAGUGGGGGGAUAACGUUUCGAAAGGAACGCUAAUACCGCAUACGUUCUGAGGAAGAAAGCAGGGGAUCGCAAGACCUUGCGCUAUUAGAUGAGCCUGCGUCCGAUUAGCUAGUUGGUGGGUAAAGGCCUACCAAGGCGACGAUCGGUAACUGGUCUGAGAGGAUGAUCAGUCACACUGGAACUGAGACACGGUCCAGACUCCUACGGGAGGCAGCAGUGGGGAAUAUUGGACAAUGGGGGCAACCCUGAUCCAGCCAUGCCGCGUGUGUGAAGAA